rnacentral:rRNA from 1 species
CCUACGGGUGGCAGCAGUGGGGAAUAUUGCACAAUGGGGGAAACCCUGAUGCAGCGACGCCGCGUGAGUGAAGAAGUAAUUCGAUAUGUAAAGCUCUAUCAGCAGGGAAGAAAAUGACGGUACCUGAGUAAGAAGCCCCGGCUAACUCCGUGCCAGCAGCCGCUGUAAUACGUAGGGGGCAAGCGUUAUCCGGAUUUACUGGGGGGAAAGGGAGCGUAGACGGCAGUGAAAGUCUGGAGUGAAAGGCGGGGGCUCAACCCCCGGACUGCUCUGGAAACUGUACGGCUGGAGUGCAGGAGAGGUAAGUGGAAUUCCUAGGGUAGCGGUGAAAUGCGUAGAUAUUAGGAGGAACACCAGUGGCGAAGGCGGCUUACUGGACUGUAACUGACGUUGAGGCUCGAAAGCGUGGGGAGCAAACAGGAUUAGAUACCCCUGUAGUC